AUUGAACGCUGGCGGCAGGCCUAACACAUGCAAGUCGAGCGGAUGAAGGGAGCUUGCUCCUGGAUUCAGCGGCGGACGGGUGAGUAAUGCCUAGGAAUCUGCCUGGUAGCGGGGGAUAACGUCCGGAUACGGGCGCUAAUACCGCAUACGUCCUGAGGGAGAAUGUGUGGGAUCUUCGGACCUCACGCUAUCAGAUGAGCCUAGGUCGGAUUAGCUAGUUGGUGUGGUAAAGGCCUACCAAGGCGACGAUCCGUAACUGGUCUGAGAGGAUGAUCAGUCACACUGGAACGGAGCCACGGUCCAGACUCCUACGGGAGGCAGCAGUGGGGAAUAUUGGACAAUGGGCGAAAGCCUGAUCCAGCCAUGCCGCGUGUGUGAAGAAGGUCUUCGGAUUGUAAAGCACUUUAAGUUGGGAGGAAGGGCAGUAAGUUAAUACCUUGCUGUCUUGACGUUACCAACAGAAUAAGCACCGGCUAACUUCGUG
rnacentral:rRNA from 1 species